AGCUUAGACAAAAUGUUUAAUGAUGUUAUUUUCAAUGCUUUAUACUCUGAGUUCAAGUUCCAUCAAGGUCAAUUAUAUCUUUCAUUCUUUUGGGGUCGAUAACAUGAAAGUGCUAGCGGUUGAUGUAAGCAACCUUCCCCAACCCAUCACAAAUUUCUGACCUUUGACCCUGCAAUGGACUAGCAUCCCAUUCAGAGGACAGUCGUUGUUAAGUUGUCAAUGUUUGGGGCAUAAAUUAACACAACUCUCAGUCAAAUGCCAUGGAAACUGACCAAUAGGUCUUUGAAUCAUCAAGUGAAAAAGGCUAAUUAAAACUAAUUAACCCCUUCCAGUAAAAUUUCAUAUUAAUUUAUGUCCAAAAUAUCAGUUGAAUAAUGAUAAAGUUGUUUUGAUUUGUUAUUUUUUUUUACUAAAUUCUUCAUUAUUUUUCUAAAUUAAUGAAAAUCCUAGCAGAGUAUUUCAUCAGAAACAAGGCAGCAAAAGAGUUAAGCGUUUUUAUACCAGCGUACCUGGCACCAAAAUACCUUGGUUCUGUGGUACACGAAUUCAUGUUUUCAUAAUGAUUGUAAUUAUAAAUUUCUAUCAAAAAUUCUAUGUUAAUUAAUAUCCCAAAGACCAGCUCAACCCUUUCUCAUUCAGAUUCCUUUGUCAAAUAUAAUGAUUAUUUAUACAUAUUUUAAAAAAUUAAUCAUGUAAUAUUUUGUAGCUUAGACAUAUUGAAGAUGUGGUAAUUUAUUUUUAGAAUGACAUUACCGGGUAGGUGUGAGAAGCUGGAUCCGGGUCGGUUUGAACAUAAAACAGGUAGAAUAUUUGGGUUGGAUAUGUCCAGUUUAAAAGCUAAAGACCUGUUAGUUAGUUA